rnacentral:lncRNA from 1 species
UCAGAUAAUUGAUGACCCUAUGCAACUGUUAAAAAAAUGUGGGCAUCCCUUUGGACUAGUCUGGAUUCCUGAUGCUGAGGAAAUCGACCACACGAACAGCUUCUGGAAUUUAACCAGAUCCACAAGGGUGAAGAGAGGGCAAGAGAUCAUCUUAGAGAAAUUUUAAACUAUUCUAUUGUCUUUUGUUCUGCUUCAUGAGAAAGACUAGAUUGUGAAAUUCAUCCCAUUUCUAAUUCCCACCCAGGGAAUAAAAGAGAGAAUAUUCAUUUCCUUUUAAUAUCAGCUUAAGCAAAGAAAAUGCAGUUACACCAAGGAAAGAUGAUGGGAGAGUCACAGAUGAUUCAUAAUUGACUCCAAAUUUCAUUCCUGAACAUAUCUGCUCUCAUUAAUAGUUAAGACAGAAAAACAAAUAAAAUAUAAGAAGCUCCAAUCGAGUAGAGCCUCCUUGAUUCUUGCUAUCUGCAGUGCACUGCAUGUGACACUGGCCAUUUAAAUCAUUAUAGUCCUCACAUGCCAUUUUUCAAACAGAAGACCUAGCUUCUUAUCAUUGUUUUAAGUCAGUUAUGACCCAAGCUUUCCCCAUAUACAAUUAGCAGCUUGAAAGGUGGUACCAAAUCUUAUAUAUCUUUAUAUUUCUAGUGUGUGGUAUUAGUGCCUUGAACAUGGUAGGUGCUCAGUAAACGUGGUUAAAUUGAAUAAACGUAGUGAAAAUGUGGGUAGGGGGAUCCCAAUGGAGCUAAUACCUACUGAGCCCCUGAUACUUUUUCCAAACUAUCUCAUUUAUUAAUUACAAGAACUCUAUGCAAUAAGUCUUAUCACCUCCAUUUUACAGGUGAGGAAACAGGACCAGAGAGAUGAGUACAAUCAGCCCAACUAGUUAGUAGCAAGGCUGGUAUUGAAAGUGGAUGGGUUUGACUGACAAAAUCAAUUGACCUCCCCAACUGCAAGACGAUCUGAACAGAAACAAUUGUGCAUCUCAGAGCAAGCUUGGCCCAAGACUACUCAGUCUCUGGAUGUGUUGCCCGUGGAGCUUGGACGAGAAGGCACAGAAGCAGGAAUCUUGCUCAGAAGGUAGAAAUUAAUUCAUGUCAUCAAAAGAGAAACCAUAAGGAAUAGACUUUUCCUCAAUCCCUGCUUCCCUUUUCCUUUCCCACUAAGUUUUAAUAUUUUUGUUAAAAAAGAAAAGCUGAAAACACAAGUCCUACAGCAAUAUUUUCAACAGAAUUAUCCUUUAAUGUGAAGGAACAGUCUUCUCUCUCUGUUUCUGCUAAUUGGACUAGUAGCUUUUCCUUAAAAAUCCAACCAAUUUCACAAGACUUUAGAGGUAUGUUUCCAACUGUCUAGUGGCCUUUUUUAAAAUGACUUCAUAGUAGGCAUAAAGCCUCAAAUAAAAGAAGAAAACACUCAAAGGAAAAUCUUAUUUCAUAAAUUAAUGUACCAUCUCAGAGUCUUAGAGGCAAGAAAUGUGUAUUGAAUUACUUGUUCUUGGAUAAAGAGCCUUGAAAUGCCCACUAUGUGCCCCAUCAUAAAGACACUGUAUUUGUAAGCUUCCACAGUGUGUUGUCUCACUAAUAGAUGUACCUAAAAGAUAUAUAUUGGGAAGGCAGCUAACCAUGAAAAUUUGCUAUAGCCUAAUAAGUAAAGGUAUCAUGCUAGGCUAGAAGUAUAGUAAUAACUGGUAACAUGAUUCGAAAUAAAAUUGGCAUUAGUCAUUCAAGAAAUAGAAAACUGUAACUUAGUUUAGCAAAGAUUUAAAAAGCAGUGCUAGUUCACUCUCUCCCUGCUUUCUCAUGCAUUUCCCUCCUUUCUCCUUCCAUAAGAAAUGACUAAUCUUUAAUAUGAGGUCAACAACAUAGGAAGUCCUUGGGUGGAGAGAACAUGGUAAAAUAACAAGCAAGCAAAGCCACACAUGGACAAAUGCCAGAUAAUGUAACAGCCACUUUCUAGAUGUGAGCCGAGGGGUAUGGAGUCCAGUCAAUUUAAAAGAAACAAAACUGAUAUAAUCAUUGAGAGUAAUCAGGCUACGUGCAGUCAAAGUAACUUGAAGGAAGUAGUAGAUGUGGGUUGGUGCCAAAGAGUGACAAGGCUGUGCAGUUGGAGGAAAGAGCAGCCAUUAAUAGGCAUAUAUUGUUUGAAAGAUACUGCUGGGGAUGUUCAUUCACAGUUGUGAAGAUAACAAACAUUCUUAAUAUCCAGUAAUAUAUUUUAGCAAACAGAACAUAUAUUCACAGGAUGAUAUAUUAUGUGAUUAUUUAAAAUGAUCAGGAAUACUAAGUAAUGACUUAAGAAGAAACUUUUGAUAUCAUGUUAAGCAACAAGAGUAAUUACAAAGUUGUACGUAUGGUACAUCUACAACUACAUUAAAAAUGCCUCGAAAAAAUGUGUUAAGAAAUAAACCAAAAUAUUUACACUGGAAAUAAGUUUUUCUUUUCAAAAUCAUGUUUAAUGGCACAUACUAUAUUUAUAAUAAAAACUUUGGAGAAGCACAGGCUGCUCAAGAGAGUGGGUUGCUCAUAAUAUUCUUCUCCUAAAAGAUCUCCAGCAUAACCUCUCUCUAGGUUUCAAUCUCUCCAUUUGGGAAAUUUGAUGCUUACUCAUAACAACUUCGCUGCCUGGCUGUCAGGGUAAAUUGAGAUGAGCAAAGCAGCACAUAUAAUCGUACCUUGUUUACUUAAGAGUCUGAGAACUCACUCCCAACAUACAUUUGUAAUACAUGUUCAAUUAUGCUUCUGCCUUCUGUCUCAUGAUAAAAAUAACUUUGAACAAAUUUUCAGUUUAAAGUUGAAUCAUUGCUAAUUAGUUCUUCUUCAACCUCUACACUCUAAAAUUGGACUUAACUAUUUGUAAUGAUUACCAGCAACGUCUAUAGAAACUUAGUCAAAGACUACCAUUGACAUGAUCCAACAGAGACAUGAAGGAACAUUGUUAGGAUGGUGGAUCUAUUUCUCAGACGUCUAACUUUUAAGUUUCUUGAGAUUACAAACAAUAUUUUUGAGCCACUUUCUAAGUUAGGCCUCUUGGAAGUACAAAUAACAAGAGCCGCUCUAGCCAAGCUUAAGCAAUAAAAGGGAAAAAAUAGUAUCGUGAGGAUUUAAUAACAGCUUAGAGAAAACAAGAAAAACUAAGCAUGCUCUUAGGAAAGGGAUGACAACCAGAAACUGAAAAGUUGUAAGAAAUCCAGGCAGACCUCUGUACACCUUUCAGCUCUGUUCUUUCAGAAGAUGUUUCAUCUUUUUUUCUCCCACAUGCCAUAGACACCAACAACUUCCAAAUUUAAGUAGUACACAUCCAGCUACCCAGAGAGAAAUUGACCUGUCCUCUCGUUUCUAAUUCCAAAUUCCUGGAGAUACCACUCUAAAGAGCUCAGCUUGUUCAAUCCCCCAGUGAACAGUUAGGAUAAUGGCCUCCAGUUCCAACCACACUGCUGCAAAGGAUGUGAUUUCAUUCUUCUUUAUGG